rnacentral:rRNA from 1 species
AUUGAACGCUGGCGGCAUGCCUUACACAUGCAAGUCGAACGGCAGCACGGGGCAACCUGGUGGCGAGUGGCGAACGGGCGAGUAAUGCAUCGGAACGUACCUUUCAGUGGGGGAUAACGUAGCGAAAGUUACGCUAAUACCGCAUAUUCUGUGAGCAGGAAAGCAGGGGAUCGCAAGACCUUGCGCUGAUUGAGCGGCCGAUGUCAGAUUAGCUAGUUGGUGAGGUAAAGGCUCACCAAGGCGACGAUCUGUAGCGGGUCUGAGAGGAUAAUCCGCCACACUGGAACUGAGACACGGUCCAGACUCCUACGGGAGGCAGCAGUGGGGAAUUUUGGACAAUGGGGGCAACCCUGAUCCAGCCAUGCCGCGUGAGUGAAGAAGGCCUUCGGGUUGUAAAGCUCUUUCGGCCGGGAAGAAAUCGCACGGGCUAAUACCCUGUGUGGAUGACGGUACCGGAAUAAGAAGCACCGGCUAACUACGUGCCAGCCGCCGCGGUAAUAC